UACGUAGGGUCCGAGCGUUGUCCGGAAUUAUUGGGCGUAAAGGGCUCGUAGGCGGUCUGUCGCGUCGAUCGUGAAAACUUGGGGCUUAACCCUGAGCUUGCGGUCGAUACGGGCAUGACUGGAGUUCGGCAGGGGAGACUGGAAUUCCUGGUGUAGCGGUGAAAUGCGCAGAUAUCAGGAGGAACACCGGUGGCGAAGGCGGGUCUCUGGGCCGAUACUGACGCUGAGGAGCGAAAGCGUGGGGAGCGAACAGG
rnacentral:rRNA from 1 species